UGGACCUGAUAUCAGACAAGA
rnacentral:rRNA from 1 species